GUUUUUAUAGUUUAACAAAAACAUUAAUUUUGUAUAUUAAAAUUAGAUUUUUUCUUAAAAAUU
rnacentral:tRNA from 1 species